UACAGAGGGGGCAAGCGUUAUUCGGAAUUAUUGGGCGUAAAGGGCGCGUAGGCGGCUUGGCAAGUGGAAGGUGAAAUCCCUCGGCUCAACUGAGGGAACUGCCUUCCAGACUGCUUUGCUUGAGUCCGGGAGAGGUGAGUGGAAUUCCCAGUGUAGCGGUGAAAUGCGUAGAUAUUGGGAGGAACACCAGUGGCGAAGGCGGCUCACUGGACCGGAACUGACGCUGAGGCGCGAAAGCGUGGGGAGCAAACGGG
rnacentral:rRNA from 1 species